rnacentral:tRNA from 3 species
GCCGGGGUAGCUCAACGGUAGAGCAAUCGCUUCGUAAGCGAUAGGUUGUGGGUUCGAAUCCCAUCCCCGGCU